UCCACCCCACGUUCCCUCUCUACUCGGGAUCCUGGAUUUUAGAAACCUUUGAGCCCAGCCCUUCUCCCCUCCCUCUUGACGGAGUAGAAAAAGGGAAGUGUGUGGCAUCCGUGUUAUAAUAACCAAUGAUAGCUCCCAACCUGGAGGAGCGAUGGUAGAAGAAACCUGCACUUCAUGGGACUUUAGAGAUCGUCUAGUCCAACCGCCUAGUUUUACAGCUGAAGAAAAUGAGCCCUGGGUAAAGGAAGUGACCAGGGAGACUGCCAUGAACAGACCUGGUUCUGAACAUGAAGGAGAAAUAAUUAGGAUAUUGGGAUAUGACUAGAUUGAUAAUUCUGGAGAAUGCUUUUAGAUUUCACUGAUGGAUUUUAUAAACUCUCUCAUACUCUCCUUCUGCACGAUAUGAAGAUGGGCAGCUCAAAGGCAGCAGCAUGCAACAUAUCCUGGCCCUCUCACUUGCCAUUGUAUGACCUUGAGCAAGUCACUUUUCUCCUCAUCUAUAAAAAAGAAGAGUUGGGAUUUGAAAGGCAGUUCUGUCAAUACUGUCAGCAGAGGUGACCGGGAAACAUGUCCAGACAGAUGGAUAACCGGGGUUCACGUAUAGGGCUGAAGAAGAGAUGAGGUUACAGUAACGACUCGGGGGCAUGCUCUGUUUGGUCUCCUUCCUUCUUUCACGAAGACAGAUAGGCUGGUCUCCAAGAACCAACGGAAGGGAGAUGUCUGAUGCUGGUGAUCUUGCCCCAGUAGAGAUGAGACAGACUGUUAUUUUGUGGAGUGUCACCUAAUUUGACAGUUGGGAUGUUCACAAGAUCUGGUGAGUGAUCUGUGGAACUCAUCACUCAAGGUUUGGAGAUUUUGUCCUUUAAUGUACACUUGUGAAUUAAUUUGUGAAUUAAUUAGCAUCAAUUUAUUAUUUAUACAAUAAUUCUAUAAAGGAACAUAAUUAAUAAUGUGAAUUAAUUGGUCUCUUUUAAAAUCUACAUAUAUGAUUCCAAGAAACUACAGAAUGGGAACUUCUGUGUAGUUGGCCCAGACGACAUUCUAAUCUCUAAUGCUUAUAUUCAUGGCCCAUGUUUCGGUACAUCUAUUGGCAAUAAGAAAUCUUUAUCAAUUAUUGUUGUCAAUUGCUCAAACUCCCUCAGAGCUACAGUGUUCUUGAAUGAUCUAUUUAAUAAGUUAGACUGCACUUCCUUAUGUAGAGAUAUUUGACCAAUUAGAAAAGGACCUGCCUACUUUUGAUAUAUAACCUGUAGUGCAAAGGUCAAGAUAUUGCCAUAUUACAUCUUACUGAUUGGAGGAUGACUCGUAGACAGAGUGGGCUUAGUGUCUGGCUAAACUUAACAUCUACCCUUUUGCCUCCAUUUUGGAUCUCCAAAAUUUCCUUGUAAUUCCAAUUUUUUCCCAUUCAAUUCUUUUUUUAUUGUAUAACUUUCUCCUCCUAUCAAAUUAUUUCAUGUUAAGCACUUGGAAAACUGUUGGUUUUGCCAUGAUGACGUUAGUAAAUGGGUAAACCUCAGACUCUGCUCUCCUUAUCUCAUUAGGGCUGUAGAUUUUGUUG
rnacentral:lncRNA from 1 species